rnacentral:rRNA from 1 species
GUGGGGAAUAUUGCACAAUGGGCGCAAGCCUGAUGCAGCAACGCCGCGUGAGGGACGACGGCCUUCGGGUUGUAAACCUCUUUUAGCAGGGAAGAAGCGAAAGUGACGGUACCUGCAGAAGAAGGACCGGCCAACUACGUGCCAGCAGCCGCGGUAAUACGUAGGGUCCGAGCGUUGUCCGGAAUUAUUGGGCGUAAAGGGCUCGUAGGCGGUCUGUCGCGUCGGGAGUGAAAACUCAGGGCUCAACCCUGAGCGUGCUUCCGAUACGGGCAGACUAGAGGUAUGCAGGGGAGAACGGAAUUCCUGGUGUAGCGGUGGAAUGCGCAGAUAUCAGGAGGAACACCGGUGGCGAAGGCGGUUCUCUGGGCAUUACCUGACGCUGAGGAGCGAAAGCAUGGGGAGCGAACAGGAUUAGAAACCCGGGUAGUCC